rnacentral:rRNA from 1 species
GACGAACCGAGCGAACGUUGUUCGGAAUCACUGGGCUUAAAGGGCGCGUAGGCGGGUGCUCAAGUCCGUGGUGAAAUCCCACGGCUCAACCGUGGAAGUGCACUCGAAACUGCGCAGCUAGAGUCCUGGAGAGGAAGGUGGAAUGCUUGGUGUAGAGGUGAAAUUCGUAGAUAUCAAGCGGAACACCGGUGGCGAAGGCGGCCUUCUGGACAGUGACUGACGCUGAGACGCGAAAGCGUGGGGAGCAAACAGG